GAUGAACGCUGGCGGCGUGCCUAAUACAUGCAAGUCGAGCGAACGGACGAGAAGCUUGCUUCUCUGAUGUUAGCGGCGGACGGGUGAGUAACACGUGGAUAACCUACCUAUAAGACGGGGAUAACUUCGGGAAACCGGAGCUAAUACCGGAUGAUAUUUUGAACCGCAUGGUUCAAAAGUGAAAUACGGUCUUGCGGUCACUUAUAGAUGGAUCCGCGCUGCAUUAGCUAGUUGGUAAGGUAACGGCUUACCAAGGCAACGAAGCAUAGCCGACCUGAGAGAGUGAUCGGCGACCCUGGAAGGGAGACAGGGUCCCGACACCUACGGGAGGCAGCAGUAGGGAAUCUUACGCAAUGGGCGAGAGCCUGACAUAGCAACGGCGCGUGAGUGCUGAACGUGCUCGGAUCGUAAAGCUCUGUUAUUAGGGAAGAACAUAUGUGUAAGUAACUGUGCACAUCUUGACGGUACCUGAUCAAAAAGCCACGGCUAACUACGUG
rnacentral:rRNA from 1 species